rnacentral:rRNA from 1 species
UACAGAGGGGGCAAGCGUUGUUCGGAAUUACUGGGCGUAAAGGGCGCGUAGGCGGCCUUCUAAGUCGAACGUGAAAUCCCCGGGCUCAACCCGGGAACUGCGUCCGAUACUGGAAGGCUUGAAUCCGGGAGAGGGAUGCGGAAUUCCAGGUGUAGCGGUGAAAUGCGUAGAUAUCUGGAGGAACACCGGUGGCGAAGGCGGCAUCCUGGACCGGUAUUGGCGCUGAGGCGCGAAAGCCAGGGGAGCAAACAGG